GAGAGGUGAACUCUGUGGUAUCAAAACUUGCAGAUGUUAAUGCAAAUGAGCGUGCUUUGCUCGACCAGUGCAACGAUCUAUUGUCUACAGUAGCAUCUAUGCAGGUAACAGAGUGCAGCCUGAGAACACAAAUAUUGCAACUAGAACGCCCGCCCACCAGCUUAACAGAACAGGACACCGCAAGGGUAUAGGUAGCUGAUUGUUGUGUUGUGUGCAUUAUUAGACCGAAGAUCUUGCUAGAGAAUCGAAACCCAUUCUUUUUUUACUUGAAUUCAUGAAACAAGAAGCAAUAAUAGAUUCAUUGACAAUGUUUGGUCA